rnacentral:rRNA from 1 species
CCUACGGGUGGCAGCAGUGAGGAAUAUUGGUCAAUGGGCGAGAGCCUGAACCAGCCAAGUCGCGUGAGGGAAGACGGUCCUAUGGAUUGUAAACCUCUUUUGCCGGGGAGCAAAAAGCGGUACGUGUACCGCAUCGAGAGUACCCGGACAAAAAGCAUCGGCAAAUUCCACGCCAGCAGCCGCGGUAAUACGGAGGAUGCGAGCGUUAUCCGGAUUUAUUGGGUUUAAGGGGUGUGCAGGCGGAGAGUAAAGUCAGAGGUAAAAUUUCGGGGCUCAACCCCGACAAGCCGUUGAAACUGGCUUGCUAGAGUGGGCGAGAAGUAUGCGGAAUGCGUGGUGUAGCGGUGAAAUGCAUAGAUAUCACGCAGAACACCGAUUGCGAAGGCAGCAUACCGGCGCGCAACUGACGCUGAGGCACGAAAGCGUGGGUAUCGAACAGGAUUAGAUACCCCGGUAGUC